rnacentral:rRNA from 1 species
UACGGAGGGUGCAAGCGUUAUCCGGAUUCACUGGGUUUAAAGCGUGCGCAGGCGGUUAUGUAAGACAGAUGUGAAAUCCCCGGGCUCAACCUGGGAACUGCAUUUGUGACUGCAUAGCUUGAGUACGGCAGAGGGGGAUGGAAUUCCGCGUGUAGCAGUGAAAUGCGUAGAUAUGCGGAGGAACACCGAUGGCGAAGGCAAUCCCCUGGGCCUGCACUGACGCUCAUGCACGAAAGCGUGGGGAGCAAACAGG